rnacentral:snoRNA from 1 species
UUUCCCAUUUGACUACCACUUUUUCUCUUAAUAAUAGAUGUUUGUGGCUAUGCUUGUGGGAUAAAUGAAAAUUGCCAUGAUCUGAAGAGGGAGGAUUUGUGUGUGUGUCCUCCUCCUAUAUGAAAUGGCUGGACAGAAAACU